AUACUGUUUCUAUAGGAAAACAGUACAAGCAUUGAUCACGAAGGUGGUUUUCCCAGGGUGAGGCUUCUCCAUGUGCUGACCCCUGACAUUCCCCAAAUGCGGAGAACUCAACUGUAUAAUGUGUAGUGCGUGGGGGAAUGCAUUCGUGCUUUCCCCUG
rnacentral:snRNA from 13 species